rnacentral:misc_RNA from 1 species
GACGGCGGCGACAUGAUGGACGACAAGGGCGACGAGGUGGUCGGCGUCGUGGCGAUGGACAUGUCGCUGGGCACGCCGGGGCACGCCGUCAUCCUGGGCGUGGUGCCGGCCGACGGCAAGGGCGCCAAGUCCACGACGCUGUCGCAGGCCCUGGCCCACAUGAAACCGUACAAGAAGCACCACACCAUCCACCUGGCCAAGCCCACCUCCACGCUGUGCACCACCACGACCACGUCCACCACCGCCACCGCCGUGUCCGCGCUGCUGGGCCAGGCCAUCCAGGCGCAGGCCCUGCAGGCCAAGUCCAUCCACGCGCCGCCGCUCGUGCUGACCAAGGCCGCGCAGGCCGCCAUCAACAAGCCCACCACCAGGUCCGCCACCGGCAGCCUGGCGCUGCCCGAGGACAAGACCGCCAGGGCCGCCGCCACCCCCAUCGGCACAGAUGGCGAGCCGAUCAAGCUGCCCGACAACCUGGAGAGCCUGCCGCGCGCCGAGCACUUCCCCAGCAUCCGCCACCGCUGGAACACCAACGAGGAGAUCGCCGCGGUGCUCAUCGCCUUCGAGCGGCACGCCGACUGGCAGUCCAAGGAGGUCAAGAUCAGGCCCAAGAGCGGCUCCAUGCUGCUGUACUCCCGCAAGAAGGUGCGCUACCGCCGCGACGGCUACUGCUGGAAGAAACGCAAGGACGGCAAGACGACCCGCGAGGACCACAUGAAGCUCAAGGUCCAGGGCACCGAGUGCAUCUACGGCUGCUACGUGCACUCCGCCAUCCUGCCCACGUUCCACCGACGCUGCUACUGGCUGCUGCAGAACCCGGACAUCGUGCUGGUGCACUACCUGAACGUGCCGUACCCGGACGACAACAAGAUGGUGUCCAUCUCGCCCAGCCUGGCGCUGUGGGGUGACAAGAAAGAGUGGACGAAGGAGGAGCUGGUCUCGCAGCUGAAACCCAUGUGUGAGUCCCUGGGCCGUGUGCCCCGAGGAGCCCACCAUCGACACACGGCGUCCCACCACCAGAUGCAUCCCUUUUCCAACUCCUCGACCGUUUACAGCGAGGAUGAGCCGGACCACAACAACGAGCUCGAGAUAUCGACGGCCGAGACGGUCGAGUCCAUCGUGACGCAGCUGAUGGAGCGGCAGCGGGCGGCGCGCUCGGCCGCGCUGGCCAAGCAGCUGGAGUGCGGGUGUCCGGACUCGACCUGCGCCGACGGCAAGACCUGCUCGCACCCCAUCCGCCGCAUCACGUCGGCCAAGCCGCAGCUCACCACCGUCACCAUGGACCGCAGCAACCAGGUGUCGUCCACGACGGGCACGGGCUCGGGGACGCUCAUCACCCAGACGCAGAGGCACCACGCGACGCAGCACACGUCUCAGCACACCGCGCAGCACACCGCGCAGCACCAGAUCCACCUGUCCGAGACGCACCAGCAGCAGCUGCAGCAGCGCGUCACGGCGGCGGCGCAGCAGCAGCAGCUGCAGCAGCACCACCACCAGGCCGGCCAGCUGGUGCAGCAGGCGCCGCCGCUGGUGCUCAGCCUGUCGCAGAUCCAGACGAGCAGCCUGCUGAUACUCAACAACGCGGCCAACGGCCAGGCCAACCUGGGCCCGGCCUCCGCGCACCAGCACCAGGUCGCCACCGUCACGUCCUUCGUGCGCAACGUGCCCGGCGUGGCGCACCUUCCCCACCACCCGCACCACCACCACCACCUCAAGCCGCCCAACGCCUCGGCCACGGCCGCGGCCGCCGCCGUGGUGGAGGCCGCGGGGCUGUCGGGCAAGACGGUCGUGUCGGAGGCCUCGUCGCUGCACGCCGUCAUGAAGCAGGAGCAGGAGGCCAUGGACAUGAACACGUGCCGCAUGGCGGCCAUGACUGCCGUCAGCCAGAGCAGCAGCACCGUCGUCAGCGUCACCAGCCACAACAUGGACGUCACCAACGGCAACAUCGCAGAUUUUGUCAUGUAUGACAAUAUUGGAUUCAGUCAAGAAACUCAACACCUUCAAGUGGUCAGCAGUGCUACUAAUCAGCAAGCAAUACAUGUUGACAAAGCAAUGAGUAGCCCCCCAUCUCCCUCAAAGCAAAUGGACACCAGAUGCAGUCCAGACAUGCUUGUCACACAUCAGACUUUCUGUGAUGAUGCAGUAGGCAAUGAGAGUUGUGGCAACAAGUCCAGUGGGACUAGUGGGGCCAAUAGCAGCAGUGACGGAAGCACCACUGCAGGCUUCUUCGAUGCUCUAGAAAUGACGCAGGAGGACAUUCAACGAACAUUGUCUGCUAAUAUGCCAAUGUCUUGUGCAUCUGAUCAGAGGCUGCAUACUCCAAUGGAUACUGUCCCAUCCGUGCAGGAAACUAGUCCAGAUGAAAUGUCUCCUCACGACUUAAAUCCCAUGGACUUUAUUGAAGGCUGUGAAGUAGUGUCAGGAGCUGCAGAUGAUGAAGAUGUAUUUGUUAAUCUGGACGCCUUUGACAUGCUUGGUGAUUUUGUAGAUAUAGAUGGCCUAGAUAACACAGCAGAGAAUUCAUCUCAAAGUUCAAGAAUUAUGAUAAAUUCUGAAAAUUCUGAAUCCCCUUCAGUAGGAUCAAUAGAAUUAACUCAUCAACAACCUCAGUACCAAGAACAAACAACACUUCUUGAAAUAAAGCCAGACCAUGAUGCUGUUCUUAGUCAUUUAAAACAAGAAGAGCCUAGCCCUUUAGAAGAAAAUCAACAGCAGCAACUGCAACAGUUACAGCCUCAGCAAAUUAAUGGAAAUGUCAAUAGCAGUGAAACAAGUCUUCCAUCGGUUGAAAUUACCGAAUACUCGCCUGAAUGGGCAUAUCCUGAAGGUGGUGUAAAGGUGUUGGUCACUGGACCGUGGUAUUCAUCUUCUCCCUACACAGUUUUAUUCGACACGUUCCCUGUGUCCACAACGUUGGUUCAAGAUGGUGUGUUACGUUGCUACUGUCCAGCUCAUGAAGUUGGAUUAGCUACACUUCAAGUUGCUUGCGAUGGUCACAUUGUUUCAAAUUCUGUGAUGUUUGAAUAUAAGGAACCACCCAAGUCUCCUGUAGAGGCUGUUGGCACAGCACUCCAAGAUCAGAAGCGUGAUACUGCUGACUCCAAUUCUUUGCUCAAACUUACCCUACUUCAUAGACUGGAGGCAGUAAACCAACGGCUUCACAUUAAACAAGAACAAAGUGAUCAUUGUUCAGACCUGAUGGAAAGCGUAGGUGACUUGGAGGAAAGGCUAGUGGCACGAUGCAGACGAAUGUCCUCCUGUCAGUGGAAGGAUGUUGAAAUGCCAGUUCUUACAAGCCAUCGCAAUAUGACACUUCUACAUCUCGCAGCAGCAUUGGGGUAUCCUAGGCUCAUUUGUGCCCUUAUUCAUUGGCGAGAGGAAAAUUCAUCUCCAAUAUUAGACUUAGAAGUUGAUGCAUUAUCAAAAGAUGAAGUUGGUUUCACCCCUUUGAUGUGGUCCUGCUCUAAAGGCCAUAAUGAUGCGGCCUUGGCUCUGUACCGAUGGAAUCACUCUGCAUUGGAUUUAGUCAACAUCUUUAAUCAAAGUGCUUUAGAUGUUGCAAGAUUGUCUGGUUUUACCUCUCUUGCAUCGGAAGUUACUAAGUUAAAGAAUGAACGUCUCAAAACUAAUGCCCUUUCUCCAUCAAGCCAAUCAAAUGAUAUGCUGUCGCUUCUCUUUCCUCCAUCUCCUUCCCCAUCAUCUGGGCUUUCACCAUGCAGCUCAGUUGUUUCAAUACCAUCAUCUGCAGCGUCAUCCUCUGCAUCUACAUGCACCUCUGCUUCAGCUACUGGAACAGAUGUUUCACAGGACAGCUUAUUGGAUACAAACUCAUGGGCUUCAUUGUCAUCAUCCAGGUCUCACGAUGGGGUUUUCUUAAGACCCUUAGCAACAAGAACUCGAAGUGACGGCCAAAAACUCAAAAAUCUAGAGCUCCAAGUAAACAUUCCCCCCUCCACAUCAGCCAUGCUGAAUAACUUAGAAGCUGCAACAGAGUCAGAACCUGGAGAGAUACGACAAUCACAAUCCCUAAAACGUGGAUCUCAUCAUCUUGUAAAGAGACCAUCUGUGGACAGUGGCAUCAACCUUGGUUCUGUUCAGUCUGUUCAAUCUUCGUGUGACAGUCUCUCAUCUCUUAGAUCACUUCGAAGCAAUCGGUUUAACAGAGACAACUCUCGCAUAUCAAGAUUUGACCGCAGUAUGUCACUUCCACUAAAUUCACCUAAAUCAGCAAGUGAUUUGUUUGGGUCAAAUGGCUGUAAUUCACCAGCACGCAAAGGAGACUUCUCUCUAUGCGAAGUUACAUCUGGAGACCGGAGUGACAGUCCCCUAAUCGACAUAGAAGGAGUUUCGGAUGAAGACUCGGAAAGCAGGGAAAGUGUUGUAGGGCAGCAAGAAGUUCGUGUAUUAACUUUGGCAGAGCAAAUAAUUGCAGCAAUCCCAGAAAGAAUAAAGAAUGGAAGUGACGAUUCUAUGAUGAGUGAUGAUAGCUCCUCUCCUGGUGAUCAGAAGAAUGAAGGCCUUGAUGUGUUUAUGGACUCAUCCCUCUUGGAUGAGCCACCCUCUUCUGCCUUUGAAUCCAACGAAUUCAACUUUGAAUUCAGUGAUCAUAACUAUCGAUACUAUGAUGUGAGCACACCUAGUUCUAGUCUCAGCCCCUCAUCAAGUUGUCUUCAAUCACCUUGCUCCUUUGUGUUGGAACCCUCACCAUCACCUCCCCCUACAACAGCAGACUUCUGUGAAUUCUUUCAGGCUUCAGGAUCUCUUUUUGAAAAGGAUUUCUCUAAUCUAACUCUGUCAGAUCGUGAACAGAGGGAGCUCUAUGAAGCUGCAAAGAUCAUUCAAAAAGCAUACCGGUCUUACAAAGGACGUAAAAUUGCUGAGGAACAGGAAAAAGAGCGUGCUGCUGCUAUUUUAAUCCAAAACUACUACCGACGCUACAAACAGUAUGCGUACUUCAAACAAAUGACUCAUGCAGCAACAGUAAUUCAGAAUGGGUUCCGUUCUUAUCAAGAGCACAAGCGCUUCAAGAAAAGUAAAGAAGCAGCUGUGUGCAUUCAAACAUACUACCGUAAUUACCGUGAUCAUGGAGGACGAUCAUCCAGUUCUAGUCCAAGCUUUGAAAGCACUCCGUCCUCUGGUCUCAAGCGGACCUAUUCUCAGCGCCGACAGCAUCAAGCUGCCAGAAAAAUUCAACAAUUUAUGCGUCAAUCUAAAAACAAGUUGCAGACAGAACGAGCUUUGGCAGUCGCAAAAGAGAAGCAGUGGGGCCUGUCGGAGUUCCUGGCUGCCCACCGAAAGUAGCCUUAUCACGAAACUUUGGACUGAUUCAACACCGUUCAAAAUAAGAGCAGCAGUGUCUUUGUGAAAAAGGCAGAAAUACAUACUUUUAAAUUGCAGCAUAUUUCUAGUGUUGCCACUCUCUCACUACAAUGCUCACCUCAAAUUUGCUUUUGUACCUCUUAAAGCACUUUGCCGAGGAAAUUCGUAAUAAGAUUACUGUAUUUAAUGAUAUUUGCAAUCACCACCAUUGAUUCUGGUUCAAAAACUUCUGGUAUUGUUUCAGUGUUGUUUGGUGUGUUAAGUUCUGUUAGUCUGUGGUAAACUUACUUCUGUGUGUGCUGUGCAUUGCAAAACACUUAUCCAAUGAUCGGAUUUUUGAAUGUGCACUUUUGAAUGUUGAUGACUCCCUGGCAUCAAUGUUUCAAAACUGUAUUAUGAAGGCUUUUGUGGUUGUGCUGGGUCUUCUUAUUUCUCUAUUUCCCCUAGAUUUAGAGCAUUUCUUUACAUUGUUCAAAUCAGGUGAGGAAGCCAGGGUAUUUUCUAAUAUCUCCCUUAAUGUUAUGUAUAUUCCACAUUUGUGGCGAUAUUUUUAUUCUUAUUUCUCGCAUCCAGAGUCCAGUUAGCCCCUGUUUUGUGCCAUUUUCUGCAACAUAAAGUUUUAAAAAAGUCAUUCAGAACACUUAUGUGUAUUCUUUCAAAUAUAUUUAUGAUUUUUAAUCAUGUUAUGAUAUUUUUAACCUUUGGUGCUUUCAUUUAGUGGUGCAGGAUUUAGAAAAGAAGCAUUCCUUAGUAGUCACACCAAAUCAUCAAGCUAAUUCUGUAUCCUCCGUCUUUGAAAGGUACUGUUGUUAAGUUCUGUUUUAAAAAUUUACAAGAACGGAUUUAUGGGAAUGUUAUUGUGAAGUUUAAUGAGUACCUUCUGUUAGAGGCCGGUCCUCAAAUGUACCUAUUGUUUGCUGUUCAUAUUGUUAUGUAUAAAAUGUGUACAUCCAUCCAUUCAUCCAUUUCAUUCAUCCAUUUAGAUGAGCACUCAUUAUUGAUAUGCAGCUCAUUAGUGUUAUUAAUACUUCUUGUAAAUAUGAGGAAUAUUGUGUGACCUCUGCGCCUCUCUUAUAUGUCCUCUCUAAAAGGGGUGAAGUUUUCUUGACGAUUUUUCCUUCCAAAUACUCUUGUAGUAUGUUCUGCUCAGUGGAAAAUUAAUGUUGAAAAUUUAAGGGCACAGGAAAGGCCAAAGAAUUAGUACAUCAACCUUGCAUAAUGCAUGCCUACCACCUAUAUAACAUCUUUACCCUUCAAUAGUUAAUAACAUUGUCUUUAAGAAUCAUUUAUUCUCAAUGAGGACUGCUGAUUGAGUUAAUAAUUGGGUACAAUCUAAGGUUUCUGUUUUAGUUUAUGCCAGUGUUUCAACCAGAUACAAGAGCAGAGCCAAUGAAGUUUUCUUUGUAUGUUUAGGAAUGCUCUUGGCUGUUUCUAUUUUAUGGUAUGUGACAAUCUCCUGUUUGACUGGAAUAUCACCCUUUGCUAAAGAAGUUGUUUACAGUUGCUUAGAUACCAAGGAACUUGAUGUACUACUCAUUGUACACAAACUCUUUGGUUGGGAAAUAGACUUGAUAUGGGCUUGUCUGCUUUUGAGUCAUUAGGCAAGCCUACUGUAUCUGUGAUUUGUCAGGAAAGACUAUCUGUAAAUAACUUGUCCAAAACACUGUUUCUUUAAGUUCUAUAAAAAUGAGGGUUCUUCAGUAUGUUUAGAAUUAAUUCUUCAGUUCUUCCUCAUGAACUAGUUCAAAAUUACUAGCAGAGGUCAUAUUUUUUUGUAGUUCAAAAAAUUGAUAAUUUAUGUUUUCAGGCAUGUUUCCAUUUAAUUUGUGAUUAAUCAUUCCUGUUCAAAGCCUUUCAUCCUUAUGUGUAGUAUGGGAAAAAAAUUGGUAGAAGCUUGCUGCAGCAGAAUUUUCUUCUUUUCCUCUCUUUAAACUGAUCUAUGUCAUAUUAAACUUUAAAACUUAGCUCUUUUGAUGUAAUUUUCAGUGGCCAAUUCUGCUGGUUCAUUCAUUCAAUUCGUUACUAUUCAGUCCAGAAUAUUGACAACCAAGGAACCUAAGUGAAUUCAGCUGCAACAAGUUGUUCAAGCGUCUCUCCCCUUUAAAAUUAAUGUUCAUUAAGGAAAUGUAUUUCAGGUGUAUAAGGAGAGAAGGAAAAAGACAUUCCCCCCAAUGGAAAUGUGCUUCUUAUGAGCUUUUGGUUACCCAUUACAACAACACAAGCAAUGUUUGAGCUGUUUGAGGAAAACCGCCAUUUCAUCAUCAAAUUUCAGACCAAAGGCUCAUGGGCCUCAUGUUUUCAUUUUAAUUUAUUUCUGGUUAUGCAGGGUGAUUCUCGUAGUUAAGUGCUGCACCAAAAAGGAGGGUGAAUAGAGGACCCUUAAACAUGCUCCUUUUCUAUAGAAAUAAUUUUGUCUUGCGUUGUUCCUGAUGGGUUCUCAGGCAGCUGGGGGCAUGCUUCUGUGAUCCAGGUGCCUCCUUGGAGUAUCACUUCUCCCUGGGACUCCCCUCAGCCUCAGCCUUUCUGGUGCAAUGUGCAAUGUAGGUGCUCCACGCGACGCGGUGCGCGAUGCGCGAAGGCCCUCUGAUGGGGGAAAAGGGGGUUGCACAGCCCAUAGGUCCCAAAGUAAAAAACGCUUGUUUAGGGAUCCUCUUUACCCCCUCCCAUUUGGGCCCUACUUACCAGAAUCACCCUGUGGUACACCUUUCUAGACACACUAAAAUCAACGUUUUUGCUGUUGGUUUUUCUUUGUCGAAUAUUUUUAAUCUAGGAAAUUUCCCUUUGCAAUCACAUUUAAAGUUGCAGAACACAUUUGCUCAGCUGUACAAAGUUAUAGUGUUUUACUGUAAAAAAAGUUAUUUCUAUUCAUCAGACACUGCGGUGUUUGUGAUUUUCUAUUUAAAGUAGAUCAGUAGUGAAAUCUAGUCAGGUAAUAUUUCAAGUUUCUGACAUUAUUAUAAAAAUUCAAUCCCAUGGGGUUUUACUGCAUAGAUUUUUUUAAGGAAUUCAAGUUUAAGAAAAUUCAUAAUUUAAACUCUUCAUACUUUAUGUAGGGAAAUACACAUGUAACGGUAUAUUUUGUAUUUGAGAAUUUGAACACAACUUCUUUAUAGUCGCAACCACAGCAAUAUGCUAGAUUUCAACAUAAGAAAUACUCAAAAAAACAAUUCUGCAAUCUCCGGAGCAGAAAAAGACUUUCGAAACAAAAUGCUAUCUUAGGAAAUAUACAACGCUUGCUAACUUGGAUUCUCUUUUAUUCCAUUUGAUCUUGAAACUUUUUGUUUUGUGAGUGGUUGUGCUGACAAACAGCAUAAAUGUUGCUAGCCAUUUGCUGUACUUAACUUCUCAAAGUGGUAGGAUUUCACUCCAUAACAGUUGUGAGAUGACCAUCAUUUGCUCAUCUAUAUUUUUUUUCUCUCUCUUCUCCUUAAUCAAUCACCUCUGUAUAAGUUUGAAAACUAAAUCUGAAACAGCUAAACUGGUUCCUUUCCAAACUUUUGUUAUACCUGGAUUAGUAACUCAGCAUUUAUUUAACUGUUUCUUGAUCUUAAUUUUUCAAUAUAAGUACGGUUUAUGUAUGAGACAUAUCUGCUUUGGAUGCCUUUAUAUAGAGUUAAAAAUCGGAAUAUUUAGAUUCGUUAGUAUGUAAAAGGCACAGAGAAGGAAAUAGGUCCUAAAAAGAAAAAAGGUUGGAGUGGAACUCCUGACAAGUGUUCAGUUAGCUCACAAAUUUUCAGGCUGUACUAUACGUUCUAUCAGAAACACUCCUUAGCUAAAAUUUAUAUUUUUCUACAUCUUAAGGUCAAAAUCACACAGUUCUAAACAAGUCGAGGACAGGGUUGUAAUAAGGUUGCAGUGUCUUAUUGUUUCAUGUCAAAUUUUUAAUUCUAUUGGUUGGUCCUUAAUUUAUUGAUUCUAAUGGUGUUUGCAAAGCUUGGUUUGCUCUCCAAUAUUCCACAGAUGAUAGUUAGCAGCUGUGUUGUGAGUUAAAAUUCUUCAAGAUACAAUUUUAAUCUGGUCAACUCUCUUUGCAUCUUGUAAAAUUUUGUAGAUAAUAAUAUUGAUUAAUUUUGUGCUAUAAUGUACUUAAGAGUUCCUGUUAACAGAGGCAAAGUUUUUGCAACUUUGCAAGGUGUUUCUUUUUGCUGACACUUUGACAUCGAAGCAAAUAGCAGUGUCUUGCCACGAGCUCGAUGUAUGUUAUUAUGCAUUGAAAAGGCUGUGUGUUUCCUCUUCUUCCUAACACUCUUUUCCAAAUGUUGAUUUCUGCUUGUCUCAAGUGGAGUGAUCUUGUGACUUAAAAAUUAGAGCAUCCAUUUCUGUAACAUCUGUCACAAAAAAGGGAAUUCUGCAUAGUGCUGGAUGGUUCAGAUGGUAUAUUCUUUUAGAGAUUAAGCUCCAAUUGAGGGGUGGAUUUUUCUAGUAGGGAAAGGAGAAAUGGAGCAAGUUGAUUAAUAAUUUUUUACAGUAGUUUUGUAGCUUUCUUUCUCAAAUGAACCAUAUGCACAUCUUAGCGUGUGUGAGGAAACCAUAACACCAAUUAAAUUUUAAUAACAUUUUCAAUUUUUGGAUAAAGUUAGUUGAUAGGUAUCAACCCUCGCUGGUGGUUAUUUUAAAAGCCAACUCCAGUGAAUUUUUCAUUUUAAAUGUAGAUCUUUAUGUAUUCAGAUGUAGCUCAAUGCGCUUCAUUCAUGAAACACUUUUUCUAAUUUUUCAUUUUGUGGUCUUCUCUUAUCUUUGUCCUGAAGCUCUCAGAAAAUUAGUAGUAUUUUUAUCAAUAUUGAUCUCCAUUAUCCAUUUGUACUUAAAAGCAAGCACUCUCUAGUCUAGCUUAGGUCGCUUUUUAAUAAAUUUAUGAGGACAGCGGUGUUCUUAAUGAGCAGUCAAACUUAUAUUUCUAGGGCAUAAAUUGCUCCAAAUUAUGGUUGCUUCUGUUAACUUCCGAUAAUUUCAGAAGUCAUCCUCUUCAUGUCCUGUUCUGUGUUAAUUAUGUGAUGGUUGGAGCUGUAAGGAUUUUAUUUCUGAGUGUUUCAUAUGAUUUCUACCUGAGUGAUCGUAUUAAGAUUUUCAAGUACCUGUACUGUGACAUUUUUAAUGGUGUGGUGGAAGGUGCUCUCUAUUCCAAAUUGCAAACACAUCAAUCAAUAUUUCAUGUACGUUCCUGCCUAUUUUUCUCCAUGCACCUUGAUGACUCUGACUCACAUAAGCAAGUUAUUUUGCAUUAUGCUUCUCAGAUUGACUGUUGGGUCAUCAUGGUGCUGCUCAGGCACCAUAACUGCAAUUUUGAGUCCAUCGUCUGCAACUUUAAAUGCCACACUGUGCUCAAAACUACUUUAUUGAGGUUUUAGAUUGUUUCUUUUUUUGGAGAUGCAAGUGACAUCUGCUUUCAAAUGUGAUGCAUACCUUUUGAAAAUGAAGGAUGGUAUGGAAGUGAUGUGGCUGAAUCAGUAAUUGGUGAAGGGAUAUAAGUUAACUCCAUCCUUGUACAUAAGUUGUUGAAUAUUGAAAAUUUUAUUCUUUAAAGCAGUUAUACUUUAAUUUUUUCUUACUGAGUAGUUUUAUGUAAUGUAUAAUAAGAUUCAUACAUAUGCUUCUUCAAAUAAUUUAAUCUCUUUAAGUGCAAGCAAGUUUAAAGCAAGUACACAAUGUCUACCUAAACAUAAGUAAAUUUUUAUGAACAUAGUAAGUCAGGGGAUCUGCCUGAAAACAAGGCAAUAGUUUGGGGUCUGUAGUUCAAUGCUGCUAAUAAACUCCCCACUUGGUCAAGAUUUGAUUUGUUGUGUGGCAUUUUAUCUACAACAAUGUUACUGAAAGUCACUUGCCCCUGCCAAAGUAUUUUAUUCACACUACAGUUCUCUUCCUGUGGACUUUUCUUUGAAACAUUCAUUUCUUCAAUGCAAAUAUGAUUGGUUCUGGCAGCUUUCCUUAGCAGUUCUCUUGCACUUCAAAUUUCUUUAUUAAGGAAGUCAAAACCCGUGAGAGUGCUUUAUUGUCUUCAGAUGAUGUAAGUUAAUAUUUAUUCUCCUUUGUGCCAACAGAAGUACAUGUAUACUCAAAACCUUGUAUUUCACUUCUGUUUAUUUAAAGGAAUGGCUUUGGUUUGUAAGGAACCUUGCAUUCCCAAGGUUUUGAAGCAAUAAAUACUAUCAUUUAUUAAAUAUUUACAGUGGGGUAGUUUUGCUAAAACUGGAUGUUUAACUUACAACGCAGUUCUAUCUGGUGUUUUUGAAGGCCAAAGGCAAUAUUUCACCCUGUUUAUGAGGUGCUGAUGAAUUUGAACUUAUUUUUGUUGUUGUCACAGCUCGUUAGCUUUGUUAGGUUCUGUUGUUGAUGUAUGAAAAAUUAUAUUUUAAGCAAAAGUUUCUGGAAUAAGUUUACGAACGAUUCUUUGUUGCACAUAUUUUUUGUAUCAUACAUUAUUUUAAGUGAAAAACCAAGUUAGCAAAAACAUGCAUAAGCAUGGAUUACUGGCAACUAACCCGAUGUCUAGUAAGAAUGUGAUUAAUUAUUAUUAUUAUAAAUGCUGCCGCAUUUUUAGUUCUAUUUCUUGGAUAAGUAUUAAUAAAAGCUAUUUGUGAAGCUUAAUGCUGUUUUGGGAGAACUGUGAUUCUUUUGGGAAUGGCUGACUAAACUUGUAAAUUGUGUACCUAUUUGGAAUUUUAAUAACUUGCGGGCAUGUUGUUUUCUUGUUAAGCUGCUUAUUUUAAAAUACCUUGCUUUUUCAGUAUUUGUUCAGUCAUCCAUGGAAAUUACACUAGUAGCUCCUAAGCUAGUCAUUUUUUUCCUCAAACUUUGUGAUUUUGUGACAGAAACUUUUAUUGUCCUACUAUAUUAUCAAAUUUUUAAACCUUCCUAUCACAAACAUGUAUUGUAGAUUCUUGGGCUGUUGAAAUAAAAAUGUAUCUUAUUUCUUCGAA